rnacentral:rRNA from 1 species
GUCGAGAGGGAAACAACCCAGACCGCCUGCUAAGGUCCCAAAGUCUUGCUAAGUCACUAAGGAUGUUAAGAUACUGUGACAGCCAGGAUGUUGGCUUAGAAGCAGCCAUCAUUUAAAAAGUGCGUAAUAGCUUACUGGUCGAGUGUUUUAGCACCGAUAAUGAACGGGAGUAAGCAAGACACCGAAGCAGCGGAUUCAGCUCACGCUGAGUGGUAGGAGAGCGUUCCAGCACAGAUACAAGCCGUACCGAAAGGAGCGGUGUCGGGUGCUGGAAGUGAUUAUGCCGGAAUGAGUAACGAUAAAACAGGUGAGAAUCCUGUUCGCCGCAAACCUAAGGUUUCCUGGGGAAGGUAAUUCCGCCCAGGGUUAGCCGGUACCUUAGUUGAGGCCGAAAGGCGUAGACGAUGGAGAGCAGGUUAAUAUUCCUGCGCCGGUUCUGUGGACCGAAGAGGGGACGGCGUUUGGAUCGCGAGGGGACUGUUAGAAAUGUCCCUGGCCGCAAGGCUAACCCCGUUUACGAUGGGUAUGUCGCGUGAAGGACGUCCAAGAAAAGCCUCGUAGGGUUGAAGCAGACCGUCCGUACUAAAACUGACACAGGUAGGCGAGACGAGUAGUCUAAGGCGCUCGGGAGAACAUUGGUUAAGGAACUCUGCAAAUUGAUCCCGUAAGUUCGCGAUAAGGGAUGCCUACGCGAGUAGGCCACAGUAAAUCGGUUCCAGCGACUGUUUAUCAAAAACACAGGACUCUGCUAACACGCAAGUGGAUGUAUAGAGUCUGACGCCUGCCCGGUGCUGGUAGGUUAAGGUAAGAGGUUAGUUCAUUAGAGCGAAGCUUUUGACCGAAGCCCCAGUAAACGGCGGCCGUAACUAUGACGGUCCUAAGGUAGCGAAGUUCCUUGUCGGGUAAGUUCCGACCUGCAUGAAAGGCG